AAAGGUGAAAAGCACCCCGGAAGGGGAGUGAAAGAGAUCCUGAAACCGUGUGCCUACAAAUAGUCAGAGCCCGUUAAUGGGUGAUGGCGUGCCUUUUGUAGAAUGAACCGGCGAGUUACGAUCCCGUGCGAGGUUAAGUUGAAGAGACGGAGCCGCAGCGAAAGCGAGUCUGAAUAGGGCGUUUAGUACGUGGUCGUAGACCCGAAACCAGGUGAUCUACCCAUGUCCAGGGUGAAGUUCAGGUAACACUGAAUGGAGGCCCGAACCCACGCACGUUGAAAAGUGCGGGGAUGAGGUGUGGGUAGCGGAGAAAUUCCAAUCGAACCUGGAGAUAGCUGGUUCUCCCCGAAAUAGCUUUAGGGCUAGCCUUAAGUGUAAGAGUCUUGGAGGUAGAGCACUGAUUGAACUAGGGGUCCUCAUCGGAUUACCGAAUUCAGUCAAACUCCGAAUGCCAAUGACUUAUCCUUAGGAGUCAGACUGCGAGUGAUAAGAUCCGUAGUCAAGAGGGAAACAGCCCAGAUCGCCAGCUAAGGUCCCAAAGUGUGUAUUAAGUGGAAAAGGAUGUGGAGUUGCUUAGACAACUAGGAUGUUGGCUUAGAAGCAGCCACCAUUUAAAGAGUGCGUAAUAGCUCACUAGUCGAGUGACUCUGCGCCGAAAAUGUACCGGGGCUAAAUACACCACCGAAGCUGCGAAUUGAUACCAAUGGUAUCAGUGGUAGGGGAGCGUUCUAAGUGCAGUGAAGUCAGACCGGAAGGACUGGUGGAGCGCUUAGAAGUGAGAAUGCCGGUAUGAGUAGCGAAAGACGGGUGAGAAUCCCGUCCACCGAAUGCCUAAGGUUUCCUGAGGAAGGCUCGUCCGCUCAGGGUUAGUCAGGACCUAAGCCGAGGCCGACAGGCGUAGGCGAUGGACAACAGGUUGAUAUUCCUGUACCACCUCUUUAUCGUUUGAGCAAUGGAGGGACGCAGAAGGAUAGAAGAAGCGUGCGAUUGGUUGUGCACGUCCAAGCAGUUAGGCUGAUAAGUAGGCAAAUCCGCUUAUCGUGAAGGCUGAGCUGUGAUGGGGAAGCUCCUUAUGGAGCGAAGUCUUUGAUUCCCCGCUGCCAAGAAAAGCUUCUAGCGAGAUAAAAGGUGCCUGUACCGCAAACCGACACAGGUAGGCGAGGAGAGAAUCCUAAGGUGUGCGAGAGAACUCUGGUUAAGGAACUCGGCAAAAUGACCCCGUAACUUCGGGAGAAGGGGUGCUUUCUUAACGGAAAGCCGCAGUGAAUAGGCCCAAGCGACUGUUUAGCAAAAACACAGGUCUCUGCGAAGCCGUAAGGCGAAGUAUAGGGGCUGACACCUGCCCGGUGCUGGAAGGUUAAGGAGAGGGGUUAGCGUAAGCGAAGCUCUGAACUGAAGCCCCAGUAAACGGCGGCCGUAACUAUAACGGUCCUAAGGUAGCGAAAUUCCUUGUCGGGUAAGUUCCGACCCGCACGAAAGGUGUAACGAUUUGGGCACUGUCUCAACCAGAGACUCGGUGAAAUUAUAGUACCUGUGAAGAUGCAGGUUACCCGCGACAGGACGGAAAGACCCCGUGGAGCUUUACUGUAGCCUGAUAUUGAAUUUUGGUACAGUUUGUACAGGAUAGGCGGGAGCCAUUGAAACCGGAGCGCUAGCUUCGGUGGAGGCGCUGGUGGGAUACCGCCCUGACUGUAUUGAAAUUCUAACCUACGGGUCUUAUCGACCCGGGAGACAGUGUCAGGUGGGCAGUUUGACUGGGGCGGUCGCCUCCUAAAGUGUAACGGAGGCGCCCAAAGGUUCCCUCAGAAUGGUUGGAAAUCAUUCGUAGAGUGCAAAGGCAUAAGGGAGCUUGACUGCGAGACCUACAAGUCGAGCAGGGACGAAAGUCGGGCUUAGUGAUCCGGUGGUUCCGCAUGGAAGGGCCAUCGCUCAACGGAUAAAAGCUACCCCGGGGAUAACAGGCUUAUCUCCCCCAAGAGUCCACAUCGACGGGGAGGUUUGGCACCUCGAUGUCGGCUCAUCGCAUCCUGGGGCUGUAGUCGGUCCCAAGGGUUGGGCUGUUCGCCCAUUAAAGCGGUACGCGAGCUGGGUUCAGAACGUCGUGAGACAGUUCGGUCCCUAUCCGUCGUGGGCGUAGGAAAUUUGAGAGGAGCUGUCCUUAGUACGAGAGGACCGGGAUGGACGCACCGCUGGUGUACCAGUUGUUCUGCCAAGGGCAUAGCUGGGUAGCUAUGUGCGGAAGGGAUAAGUGCUGAAAGCAUCUAAGCAUGAAGCCCCCCUCAAGAUGAGAUUUCCCAUAGCGUAAGCUAGUAAGAUCCCUGAAAGAUGAUCAGGUUGAUAGGUUCGAGGUGGAAGCAUGGUGACAUGUGGAGCUGACGAAUACUAAUAGAUCGAGGACUUAACCAU
rnacentral:rRNA from 1 species